rnacentral:rRNA from 1 species
CAAUGGGCGAAAGCCUGACGCAGCGACGCCGCGUGGGGGAUGAAGCUUCUCGGAGUGUAAACCCCUUUCGACCCGGACGAAGCGCCCGCAAGGGCUUGACGGUACGGGUAUAAGAAGCCCCGGCUAACUACGUGCCAGCAGCCGCGGUAAGACGUAGGGGGCCAGCGUUGCUCGGAAUUACUGGGCGUAAAGGGUUCGUAGGCGGUGUGGUAAGUCGGAAGUGAAAUCUCUGGGCUUAACCCAGAGGCUGCUUUCGAAACUGCCAUGCUAGAGUGCGGGAGAGGCGAGUGGAAUUACAGGUGUAGCGGUGAAAUGCGUAGAUAUCUGUAGGAACACCCGUGGCGAAGGCGGCUCGCUGGACCGCAACUGACGCUGAGGAACGAAGGCUAGGGGAGCAAACAGGAUUAGAUACCCUGGUAGUCCUAGCCCUAAACCAUCAGGACUUGGGGUGGCCCGCGUUGGCGGGUCGUCCCGGAGCUAACGCGUUAAGUCCUGCGCCUGGGGAGUACGGU